UUCCGCGUCCCGCCCCCUGCCUGCAGAUAAGAGCUUUAUCUGGAAGAGGAAGUGCGUGCUGGAGGCGCGGUUAAGGAGGGAGCUGUCUCUUCCUGUGUGUGUUGAGUAAAUCUUCUCAGUCUGGCAAACCCUUGGCGGAAACUCAAGGACUCUGUUAGAGCACGGGCGAACCUGGGUCUGGCUGGCCUUGCCCUCCCCUCUCUCUCUCUCUCCCUCUCUCCCUCGCUGAACCGAUAGAUUCCCUUGUUGAGGGACAUCCACGUGCCUGAAGCUAGCCAACGAGGAAUUUCUGGGAAACUGAGUCACCGAGCCCUAUAGCUGGAUAGAGGCACUUGGAUCACUCUGUGACGGGGUCGUCCCUGGCCUUGAAAGACCCCAACCCAGGGCCCCCAAGGAAAAGAAAAACAAGGCCAGGCUGUUGCCUAAUGGAAAAACCCAAACCAGGUGCCUCGCCCAGCUGGCACCUCAAACAGGAUGUCUGCGGUCACCAGAGCAGUCAUGGGACCCGGAUAAUUACUGAAGCGUGCCAUAUUUACAUCUUGUGGUGAUACCAGGCAACUACCCCUGCCCCCAAAAUGAUCUUAGCCUGCGCUUAAGUAGCCAAUGAAAUGCCUGUUGCUAUGCUGAUACUUAUGUAACCAUUAAGACUCUAUAAAUAUGUGCUCCCUGCAAGCCCCUUAUGCUCUGCACCCGUGUUGCAGUAACAUCCGCCGGCGCCUGUGUACUCAAUAAACCACCUCUUGCUUUUGCA